UUUCAUGCUGCUGCUGAACAAGGGUUAUAAAAAGCUGGUUCUCUUUAUAUCAUUUUUUUUCAUCUGCCUGACCUUGUUUCUUCACCGCCCACACAAUGGAAUUUCAGCUGUUUGGGCUAUAAACAAAGUGGACAGCUUUUGCAAUGCUUCAGUUCUACUGGCAGCACAACAGCCCAAAGCAUAAUACUACCACCAUCAAUAGAAUGAAUGGGUGAGAGAGCUGUUGUCAUGGCAGUGAAGGAGAGUGAAACCCCAGAGGAAAUAAAAGAGAAAACCUCAUCAGCAUCCUGAUACGCUCCUGACCUUCAAAAAAAAACGAGAAGCAGAUGCACACACACACACACGUAAUACUAUCUGUAUCUACAGCAUCAAAAAUCAUGCAGAAACUGCAACACUGAAUAAAAAUAUCCUAAUCAUAACAAAUCCCCUGCAUCCACAAAAA